CCCGCACAAGCGGAGGAGCAUGUGGUUUAAUUCGAUGAUACGCGAGGAACCUUACCUGGGCUCGAACGUAAGAUGACUGUAGGUGAAAGCUUACAUCUCUUCGGAGCAUUUUACGAGGUGCUGCAUGGUUGUCGUCAGCUCGUGCCGUGAGGUGUCGGGUUAAGUCCCAUAACGAGCGCAACCCCUACCUUUAGUUGCCAUCAGGUAAUGCUGGGGACUCUAAAGGAACUGCCUACGCAAGUAGUGAGGAAGGCGGGGAUGACGUCAAAUCAGCACGGCCCUUACGUCCAGGGCUACACACGUGCUACAAUGGCCGAUACAGAGGGCAGCUACCUGGUGACAGGAUGCAAAUCUCCAAAGUCGGUCUCAGUUCGGAUCGGAGUCUGCAACCCGACUCCGUGAAGUUGGAUUCGCUAGUAAUCGCGCAUCAGCCAUGGCGCGGUGAAUACGUUCCCGGGCCUU
rnacentral:rRNA from 1 species